ensembl:rRNA 5_8S_rRNA 5.8S ribosomal RNA
GACUCCUAGGGGUGGAUCGCUUGGCGGGUAGGUCAAUGAAGAACAGAGCUAGAAUUAAUGUGAAUUGCAGGACACAAUUAUCAUAAGACUUCGAAUGCACUUGGGUCCCGGGUUCCUCCCCGGGCUAUGCCUGUCUGAGCAUCG